rnacentral:rRNA from 1 species
GACGUAGGGGGCGAGCGUUGUCCGGAUUCAUUGGGCGUAAAGCGUGCGUAGGCGGUGUGGUAAGUUGGAGGUGAAAACCAGAGGCUCAACCUCUGGCCUGCAUCCGAUACUGCCCGACUAGAGGUAGGUAGGGGAGAUCGGAAUUCCUGGUGUAGCGGUGAAAUGCGCAGAUAUCAGGAGGAACACCGGUGGCGAAGGCGGAUCUCUGGGCCUUACCUGACGCUGAGGCGCGAAAGCUAGGGGAGCAAACAGG